CUGGGGAAGCGAAAAUGGAUAGGACUGCUGGCUUGUUAGCCAGGCACCCUGGCUCACUUGGUGAGCUUCAGGCCUGUGGAAAAAAAAAUAGAGUGGUGCUAGAGGGAUGGCUCAGUGGUUAAUAGUCUUUCCUGUUCUUCUAGAAGACCCAACUUCUGUUCCCUGAACCCAUACCAGGUGGUUCACAACUACCUGUAACUCGAGGUCCAAAGAAUCUGAUGCUCUCUUUGGCUUCCUGGGGCAUCCAAAUGCAUUUUCACAGACAUACACACAUACAGGUGAAGCUGCAGCCAAGUGAGAGUAUGUGUCUGGGCUUAUGCUGUAUUGGGAACAUGAUGUGCUUCACGUAGCCUUGGUCAUCUCUUUGGCUUCCAUCCAUGUGAUCAAAGUCAAGGAUUGAGAUACAUGCAAGAUGUGUUUAGCGGGAGAGACUUCAUUGUGAAAGAGAGAACAUUUUGCUGAAAUGAAAUACAGACAAUUGGUCACAAAGCUUGCUUUCA